rnacentral:lncRNA from 1 species
AUGCUGGAAAAGGCAUCCUCAAACUGGGAUCAAAGGGACAUAGACUUACAUUUGAACAGGGAAGCACUGAACCCCUGGGAUGUAGCUGGUGGGUUAAAGCCCACUCAUGACAAUUUUGUCGAUAGAUUCCUCCAAGACAAGAUGGAAGAUCAAGCUCCAAGGCAGAACUACAUCAGUACUCUCAAACAGCCCCUGGAUGACAACUCCUACUGGGUUGGACAUAAUCAGCUUUUCUACCAGGUGUUGAGUCCUGUGACAGCAGAAGGAGAGCUCAGAGCCACGGCCAGAAAAGCUGAGCAACGUCUAAACAGGAACCGGGAUUUUCUCUCUGACCCAUUGGUUCAGAGCCACCUCGCUGAGAGCAGCAGGGCAGAGGCCAUGGCUGAAGAGAAGCAUUCCUCUCAAGGCGGGCACCUCCUGAUCAUGCCUGCCACCACUGACACACAGGGGAAGCAACAGGAGGAAGGGUCAAUGUUCGUAAAAAAAUCUGGGAGACCCCAAGGCCCAGAUCUUGCACCGGUUCCAAAAGAACUCUUGGAUACCACGGUCAGUCAUCACCUGCGCUUGCUGGAGCCAGACGAAGGCCUGUGGGCGUUCAUGGCUCAUGUGGAGCAAGCCCUGAGGAUGGACUGCAGCCUGUCCCAGAUCAAGCAGGCCUGUGCAAGGACAGUCUCAAUGAUCGGGCUACUUCUAAAGGAGCUCAGUGAGAGGCAAGAGACCCAGGGAGCCUCUGAUCGCAUGGGCCAGUGUCCCCUGCAAGACAACAUCUCCAGACGCACAGCUUUGGAGGAUCAGGAGCCCGCAGAAAAGCCAAGGCCAGAGACUGUGGAUGACACGAUCACAUUUGUGGUUUUGCUGUCUCUCAUCGCAAUCAUUUUGCUGAUACUGAAGUGUGUCUUCCACAUGUGUUCCCAAUGUGCUGCAGCUGUUUGCCGACAGCUACCCAGCUGGAAAUUGUGGCUGAGAAGGCUGUCUAUAAAACUGAAACAGAGAUGGAGGAAGAACAAGUACAGGGAUGUAGAGGAUGCAGAGCAGGUAAGGGCAGGAACAGAUGCCAGUGCUGCUCCUCUACCUGCACCACCUGCUCUGCCUCACCUCUCUAAAUCGUUUCCUUCCAUGGCAAUUUCCAGGACUUGCCUGAGCUCAGUGAAGCUGAAUUGCUGUUGGUUCAAUACAUCAUGGAUGUCCUUGAUAAAGAGGAAGAAGAAUUGCAGAAACAAAUGCAGAACGAGAACAUAGAUGUCUCACAAGAAGAGAUACAACAUGAAGAACUUGAGUGAGGGGAAGAUGGAUGCCAACACUUCUUCUCUAGCUCCUGCACCCAUACAGGAAUUGUGGAAGCUUUCCUUUGAUUCUAAUCCUUGACUAUUUCCUUGGAUCCCAAUUCUUGCCUUGGAGGAUAUUUCCUUAGCUAUUUCCAUACUGAUAUUUCUUUGACUCUCAUUGAAUGUUACUUCCUUCACAGUUGGAUGUUAUUCCUAAUAAAUGCCUUUUUUGUGCAGCCA